GUAGGACUGAACGCACUCCACCCGCGGAGGAAUAUUCCACGCCGCGUCCGCGUACAACGCUUCGUAAACGCAAAAGGGCUCUUCAUAUGGCAGCCACCGCGUCGCCUCCAUGAGUCUCGGGGGAGAACCCUAGCCGCCACUCCUUCCCUCCCCUACCUCCUCCCUGUCUUGCCGCCGCCACCGGAGGGCGCGCCGGGGCGAAGCUAGGGCCAGCCCCAAGGAGGGCGAGGACGGGGCACCUGGUUCCUGCCGGCUUGGCGCGGUCGUGCGGCGAACGCUUGGUGCAGCAACGCUGAGACACGGACUGCGUUGCCCAGGAGCGCCGCCGACGCCAUUUGCUGGCUUGCUACCUGGCUUACCCGCCUUGCUUCCGCCGGAUGCAGGCUCUCUCCACUCCUUAGGCAUCUGCCAUGUCAGCCCAAGCAGACGACGAAGUCCAGCCCUGGCCAACAAGCUGUUCGUCACACGCCCAUGGUUAAAGCUGACUGAGUAGUAUUUGUGAUCCAAAUGACUGGUUUCAGGUAUCAACUUGACAUAUUACGGUGUUGAUACUGCUCUAGAACACCUCCCACAUUAGUUCUCUGUUGCAAUUGUUCACCCAAUGGACAAGACGGACGUCUCUGUGCUCGCCCACCAUUAUUUGACCUGAUACAGUCACCCAUAAGAUCAGUAUGCCCCAACAUAUAUUUUUUCCAACUUCAUUAUUUUGGAUUAUCAGUUGUCCUUACUGCUAUCAAUCCAUGCCAAGAAGUAAUGCAACUAAACUACUUCUCUGAGUUUGGUGGGCAGUAAUGUAAUAGGAUUAUUGCCGCAUAGUUAAUUAUCAGAUGAAUAUUAUGUUCAUGGUCAGUUAAUUCUCUCACUGGUUAUUUGAAUAAUAAAUGUAGAAUUUGGCGUGUUAUGUAUCUCACCGAGAAAGUACUUGUUCUUGAUAUGCCACCCAUAUAUUUUAAGUUAGCUGUUUUAGUUGGUCUGAUAAUUUGGUACUGCAGACAAAGCACGUAAAAUACAUAACACACCACCCCGCAGGUCUGACUUGUUUCUUCAUAGGGGACAAGUCACCCAUAAAAUCAGUAUGCCCCAACUUAUAUUUUUUCCAACUUCAUUAUUUUGUAUUAUUGGUCGUCCUUACUGCUAUCAAUCCAUGGCAAGAAGUAAUGCAACUAAACUACUUCUCUGUGUUUGGUGGGCAGUAAUGUAAUAGGAUUAUUGCUGCAUAGUUAAUUAUCUGAUGAAUAUUGUGUUAUGGUCAGAUAAUUCUCACUGGUUAUUUGAAUAAUAAAUGUAGAAUUUGGCGUGUUAUGUAUCUCAUCAAGCAAGUACUUGUUCUUGAUAUGUCAUCCAUAUAUUUUAAGGUAGUUGUUUUAGUUGGACUGAUAAUUUGGUACCGCAGACAAAGCACGUAAUAACUGGGUACAUUGAAAAGCAUUUUUAAAAGGCAUGUAGUGAUUGACUUCAUGUUAGCAGUAAAAUAACCUUUCACUGUCAUGAUGUCAUCAGUUUACAAAGUGUGCAACCUGCCCUACUGAUGUCUGGGUUUUUGUAUGCUACUAUGUUAUUAUUUACCUUGGUGAUGAGGCAGGGAAGGUAAGUGGGGCUAACCUGUUUGUCGGAGUAAGAAUAAUGACCAAGUUUUUCAUUAAAGUUUAGGGAGCAAGUGGGGCUAACCUGUUGGCCGGAACAAAAAUAAUGACCAAAAUUUUCAUUAAUGUUUGAGGGGCGUAUGGUCUUGGUGCUGCUCAAGCUCGGCCAUACGACUGUCACCGUAGGUGCUUCUCUGAGCAUUGUCAUCUUCUUUGCCACCAGUUUGGUAACCAUCUGGGUUUCCUUCUCUGCUCCUGCAUGUAUCAUGUUCUAAUGAGAAAUGGAGAGGAAGUUAGAAAAGUUAGUAAUCAUCGAUAAUAAUAAUGUGAUGUAGAAAUGCAUGUUAGCUGCACAGGUGUACCCUGCAAGGAAUUAUUUUACAAUAGAAAUGCAUAUAUUGUGGAUUGAUGACUAAACAAGUUUGCAGGCACAUCCCUGAAAAUACAGCAGAGCCUUCAAUCUUGAGAGUUAAGAAUUCUUCCGGUGUUGCUUUGGAAAUGAAUGUCAUAUCUGAAUGCUUGCUUAUUUAGGUAUAUACGUAAAAUAUGAAACUGAACAAUACUGUUUCUAAUAACAUAUUUGUAUAAAUGGAUCUUAAUUAUAUACAUAAUUUAAGAUGGAUGUACGGUAGUAGCAUAUGUUCAGGUUGAGGGUACUAAUUAUAACAAACGAUAUGCUUAUUCGCAUAUGAUUGUAAUAUUAGUUAAGACGUGCAUUGCACGUGCACAUUUACUAGUGGAAGGAAGGAGAAGAAGGACCGAUCAGAAAGGAAGCAAGUAAUAGGAAAAAAAGAGUAAGAAAAGUUGUGUUCGGAUCUAUUUCCUUUUGGACUUGUAGUUCGUUUGGGAAGUGGAGAUAGAAAAAAACAGAGUAGGUGUUUGGAAGGGAAUACAAUGCUGAUAUUUUUGGUUCGGUUGGAGACUGAACUUAAAAAAAGGAACACGUGGCUAGUAGUGCUCAGUAUAUGAGGAUCGUGAAGCAAAAAGGAGAGAAAGAAAAAAAGUUAAGUGGCUUGCUAGCACUAAUUGUUUGUAUAUCCUUUUUUGAUCUAGCACUCAGUAUUUUCACUUUUGUUACGGUCGUGAAUUCGUCUGUGUCUUAGGCUCGCGUCUCUAAUCCGGUCUAGCUUAGGACCAGCACUCGACCACUUUGAGCGAAUUUUCAGCUUGCAUAUAUUAACGUGGUUGUAGCAUUUUUUUCACACAUAUAAAUCCAACCUAGCUCCACAUAUUUCUACACCGUGCAUACAUAUGUUCACCUGGCAAUCACUUUACCAAACUUUUGGAGUUAUUUGACACCGCUAGUUGCCGGUCACCAUCUGCUGCAUGGUAAGAACUUGUAAGAUUUUGAUAUUUGCUAUACUGUGAGUGUUUUACCACCACAUCUUAGUAGUUCAUAGGAACAUUAUUCUUGAAUUUUGUUUCUUGUUUUCUACUAAAUAUGACAGGUUCCAAAGUCAGUUGGGCUUCAUCAAUCGUGGGAGAGAUGUCACCACCUCAAAAAAUACAACCACCAUCACAAGAGGUACAAAGACAUCAGAAUGCACACAAUCAGGUUCUUGUUUCCAUGCCACCUUUUCAUGGUCGUUUUAAGCCUGAUUUAUAUACGGAAUGGGAGUUCGAAAUAAAUGCUAUAUUUGCUUCCCAUAAUUUUUUUUAGCAUGAAAAAUUUAAGGUCGCGGUUGGUACAUUCACUGGUUUUGCUACUGUUUGGAGGAGUGAACAUUGUCGGUUAUACUCUAAUUAUGUACCUACUACUUGGGAUGAUUUAAAACCUGUCAUGAGAGAUAAAUUUGUCAAUGUUUAUUAUACUCGUGGCAUGAUUAAAAAACUACAACAUUUAAAACAAGGUAGUGACACUGUAACAAAAUAUUAUGAUGAUUUACGAAGUACCUUGUUGCACUCCUUGUUAGAGGAAAGUGAAGAUGAUUUGAUGGAUAGAUUUUGGGGAGGUUUAAACCGUGAUAUUCAGGAGAUACAAAUUCAUGAAGAGUAUUAUCCUAUGGACCGUUUGUUUCGUCUUGCUUGCAAAGCUGAACAGAAAGUAAAACGGCGUGUUGUCCACAAGGAGAAUAGGAGCAAGGUGCACAUUCCAAGAGAUGAUACGGUUGUUCCUUCAACUACUAGGCAUACUAUGACAACCACGUCCGUGGUUGUGAGGACUACAUCACCUCCACCAUGUGACACAUCACCUUCGAGAGUGCCUACAUCAUCUGAGUUGAUGACAAGAGGUAAUGACAAAGGUACCGAUCUUCCACCUCCACAUGAGUAUUAUGAAUGCCUUGUCAAUUUAAAUGAACCAUGCGAUGAGCUACCCACUAGUUUGAUCACACCAGCUAUUUUAGAGGACUAUGUUUAUGAUUUGACUUUGCCAUGUGAUCAAACACUUUUGAGUGAACCCAUUGAAUUAACUAUUGAUGCGAAAGAACCAUGUGAAUCCGGGAGUACAUGAUAUUUGGAUCAAAUACGUUUGAAAAUAGUUGUGCCAAUGAUUAAUCAUUUUGAUAUGACAUCUAAACUUGGUGAUCGUUCAUCAAGGUUGGCAUGGUUUAAUGAUGAGCAUUGCCAAUAUUUUGUUACGAUUAAGAGCUUAACUUAUAUGUGCAAACUGAGCUGCAAUAUUUUCAUGCCUUUCACUUCUUGUGUUAAUAUAUUGGCUUUAUAUUUCACGACUAUUGAAGUGUGCUCUUAUAUAGCUGUGUCACAUGUGCCACAACCGAGAUCAGUAAAAAUGGAUGACAUAUACAUAUAUAGCAUGUACACCUUGUCUUUUUUGUUAGCCAUAUUUCAGAUUAAGCAACGCCGAGGACGGCUUUGUUUUCAAAAUGGGGAGGAUGAUAAGGACAUGGCUAGCACAGUUACACCCACAACCCCUGCUACUAUACCUAUUGGACCAAUUACUAGAGCUCGCGCAUGCCACUUAAAUUAUCAGGCACUUUCGUUUCUUAGUAAUGUUUCAAAUGUUCAUGAGAAUGUGAUGCUGCCUAACUUGGAUAUAUUUGUGUUGGUUACACUUGAAGCACCUAGUAUGGACAAGAAGAAUGAACACUGGAGCACGAUCAAGCACUAUGAUGAAGCCGCGUGCGAAGGGAACAAGAACGGAGUUUCCGGAGGAGAUUUCCACACUUUGAAGCCACCAUGAUGAUAUAUAAGAAGAUGGACGAAAUAUAUAACAUGUCUUUCACAAAUUUCGUCCGUAGAUUAUUAUUGGUGUUGUGUCACCUUAGUUUUGGGCUAGCCCAUGUAUUUUCAAAAUACCUCUCAUUUGGCUAUUUUUAGAGUCCAUAUUGUAGGGGAAGCGACUUAGGAGAUGUUUUAGUCCCACCUUGUCAAGGGUGGACGAAUUCCCCUCUUUUUUCUCCUAUAAAUACAACCCUUAAGGCACCGUUUAUACUUGGGUUUUAUUUAGUUAAAAGUUAGCCAUCACUGCAACUUCGUGUACUUCGUUUGUGUCCAACGAGCAGACUAAGACCGCUUAUGAAACCCCACUUUCAUCACUACUUCAUCCAUAUUCAUAA